UUCAAAGUGGAUUCCUUGAGGACCUGCUCCAUGAUUUUGCCAGAGACUGAAGUAAGGCUGACAGUGCUGCAAGCAGAGGCUGGGGGAGCUAGAGAGAGCUCUGGGCUGGUUGCUACAACCUGCAGGCUGAGGACCUGAGGUAUGGGCAGAAAAGGGUGCUGCAGCUACAUGGAAAGUGGCCCUGGGACAAUGGACUGAAGUUGCCACUGGAGGCGUGGCUGAACAGAGACUGUGGGUCCCCCGGCAGGGGGAACACAGAGUGUGGCACAGCCAGAGGGCAGUGUCACUGAAGAGGACUCUACAGUUCUGGGAGUGGCGUGGGUCCUGGAACAAAAGUGAUGGCAACAAGGUACCACCAGAGGAGGGCGCCCUGGUGAGUAGAGCUAAUUCCCAUCACAGCCAGCAGGAGGCGCCACAGUGGUGAAUCCCAUCCUGUCACAGGGAGGUUGGGGAAUCUCUGUCAAACAGUAGCUUAGACAAUCCCCUGUCAGGGAUGGUCUAGAUAAUACUUAGUCCUGCCUUGAGUGCAGGGCACUGAACUAGAAGACCUCUCGAGGUCCCUUCCAGUUCUAUGAUUCUAUGAAAUUGUGUUCAUCUGUGUCUGAUAAUUGUGUUCCUCAUUAUAGUUUCAAUCACUUUGCCUGGUAGUGAAGUGAGGCUUACUGGACUGUAAUUGCCAGGAUCACCUCUGGAGCUUUUUUAGAAAUUGGUGUCACAUUAGCUAUCCUCCAGUCAUCUGGUACAGAAGCUGAUUUAAAUGAUAGGUUACAUACAUAGGUUUUAGGACUGUACAUUUAAUUUCUGUUUAACUAGCUUCCUCAUUUUUUGUGUAGUUCCCCUUUCUGAAAUUAAAUGCUCCUGCGAUGGACUUCUUUGGUGGUCCCCGCCCCCCAGAUAUGUUAAUUUGUUAAUUUUAUGGACGCUAUUACAAAGCGGUUCAGCUAUAGUCACCUCUUGGACUGGAUUCUGUGCUCCCGUUUUUAGAACUAAAUCAAGCAAGUAGAAGCACUCGUCCAGACUCUAGGGAGAUGGGGAUAAAAAUCUCGGAGCAGAAGGAAUUAUGGUCUUUUUAUUCUGUUUGGAUUCUCAGGGGCAAAGAUUCCUAAACACAAGCAAGAGAUCUGCAGGACUAACCUGGGUUAGCCCUAAUGGACAUAUUGAGCUGGCAUAUUUCAGCAGCUCUGGCACCAUGUGAAUCCUAAGACUGCAACAUGUUUUUGUGUGUAUGGUUACUUGUUUUAACUUGGUAAAUAAUGCUUUUAUUUCUUUUUCCUGAUUAAUAAAUCCUAGUUUACUAGA